UACGGGGGGAGCAAGCGUUGUUCGGAUUUACUGGGCGUAAAGGGCGCGUAGGCGGUCAGCACAAGUCAGUUGUGAAAUCUCCGGGCUUAACUCGGAAAGGUCAACUGAUACUGUGCGACUAGAGUGCGGAAGGGGCAACUGGAAUUCUCGGUGUAGCGGUGAAAUGCGUAGAUAUGUGGAGGAACACCAGUGGCGAAGGCGACUCUUUGGUCUGUAACUGACGCUGAGGCGCGAAAGCUAGGGGAGCAAACGGG
rnacentral:rRNA from 1 species